rnacentral:rRNA from 2 species
AAAACAUGUCUUUUUGAUAAAAAUUUAAAGUCAGGUCUGCUCACUGAAUAAUUUUAAAGAGCCGCAGUAUACUGACUGUGCAAAGGUAGCAUAAUCAAUAGUUUUUUAAUUGAAAACUGGAAUGAAAGAUUAGACGAAAAAUUAAUUUUCUUUAUUUUAAUAAAUUUAAUUUUAAAUUUAAGUGAAAAUGCUUAAAUAUAAUUAAAAGACGAGAAGACCCUAUAGAUUUUUAUUAUUGAAAUAAAUUUAUAAAUGUGAUUUAAUAAAAUAAUUUAAUUGGGGUGAUUUUAUAAUAUAAAUAACUUAAUUUCUUGAAACCAUAAAUAAUUGAAUUUUUGAUCUAAAAUUUUUAAAGAAAAGAUUAAAUUACCUUAGGGAUAACAGCGUAAUUUUAUUUAAGAGUUCAUAUCUAUAAUAAAGUUUGCGACCUCGAUGUUGAAUUAAGAUAAUAUAUUGGAGUAGAAAUUAAUAUAAUUAGUCUGUUCGACUAUUAAAUUCUUACGUGAUCUG